AGAAAAUUGUGUUCGUUGUAUGCUCCGUGCCCAAGGUGACGAUCUUGAACCGUUUGAUUCGGAGAUAGAACAUACUUUCAGACGAAGACGCAAUGAACACAAAUAAAAACAGCAACAUCAAAUGGCUGACAAUCAACAAAUCCAUAUCCCUAUUCAGCCGAUUGGGCAAAUGGCCGCAAGAGUGGUGGCACCACCGGAACAGCAGCAUGAGCGAGGGGAAAUAAAUGAAGGUGAUUUGCCAGUAUCAAUAUUCGUGACACUUAUAGCAGCACCCAUGCGCUCCAGUAUUAUGUAUCCAGAUUUUGGGGUGAAUAACUUUCAGAUCAGGUCGGAUUGGAUUAACUCGGUGAGCAACACUCUGCAAUUCUACAGGCUACCUCAUGAGAAUCCGAACACGCAUAUCUCCAGAUUUCUUAGAAAUUGUCAGAACUUCCAUACUCUGGGAGUCAAUGAAGAUGCUAUUAAACUACGAUUAUUCCCAUUUACAUUGAGAGAUGCUGCAUUGGAGUGGUUAGAUGCGGAGCCUCAUGCCAGCAUUACUACAUGGGAAGAACUAAUCAGGAAAUUCUGCAACAAAUUCUUCCCACCAGCCAGAGUAGCUAAAAUCAGAUUGGAAAUUCAAACUUUUCAAUAGAAAGAGGGAGAAAGCUAUCACGAGGCAUGGAAUAGAUUUAAUGAGCUAAUGAGAAAAUGUCCAAACCAUGGAAUCACUCAAGGAAACCAAGCGCAGUACUUCUACACUGGAGUUACACCAUUGUCAAAAUCUCAAGUUGAUGCCUCUGUUGGAGGAUCAAUCAUAGGGAAAUCAAUGCAACAAACCAUAAACCUAUUUGAGUUAAUUGCCACCACACAUUCAAUGUUCUCAUCAGAAAGAGUGGUACCACCAAAGGCAGCAGGAAUGUGUGAAUUAGACAGCACAACAUCUACCAAUGCAUAGAUAGCAGCUUUAACAAAACAGAUAGAGUUACUUGUAAAAUUGCAAACACAUGGAGCAAAUGCAAUGAUGGCCAGUUCAGUAUGUGAGAAUUGUGGGAGAAAUCACGCUAUAGAGAGCUGCAUGAUGCUCACUUCUUCAGAGGAACAAGUAAACUUUAUUCAAAAUAGCUCCUGUAAUUUCAACUCAUAUGGUAACAAUUUCCAGCAAGAAAGAAGACCAAGUUUGGGGGAGAUGUUUUAACAAUAUGUGCAAAAGACGGACAAGGUGUUCCAACAAAUUGACAUGAACUUUCAAAAUCAGCAGGCAUCCAUCAAGAAACUAGAGACACAAAUUGGUCAGAUAGUACAACAACUUGCAGAACGUUCACAAGGGACAUUGCCAGGCAAUACAAUGAUAAAUCCUAAGGAACAGUUGAUGGCAAUUAAGGUAGUGGAGAACGAUCCACCCUGGGCUCCCUUAAAAGUUAAAGCACAUGUACCUCCACUUCCGUUUUCCCAAAGACUUCGAAAGAAGUCGAUGGAGCAUAAUAUUCAUGUCAUAAAUAUAAAGAGCGAGGUACAAUCACCAGAGAUCACUACGGAGAGACCCGAAAGAAAAGAUGACCAAGAAGUGAUUGAUGAAGCUACAAAGGUAGAAAAAUCUGCACCAAAUGCAACUGAAAAUAGAGAAGGUAUAGAAACAUCAGCUACCAAAGCACUAAGUCUAGACAAAACUUACAUGCCUCCCAUUCCCUUUCCUCAAAAGUUCAAGAAGAACAAACAAGACACAAACUAUGAAAAGUUCCUCGAUGUUCUCAAGAAGGUCCAGAUUAAUGUUCCGUUCAUAGAUGCGAUACUACAAAUUCCAAGCUAUAAGAAAUUUUUGAGAGAGAUGUUGACAAAGAAAAGAAAGCUUCUGGAGUUUGAAACUGUGGCAUUAACUGAGGAAAGUAGUGCAAGAGUUCAGAGAAAAUUGCCUCCUAAAUUGAAGGAUCCAUGGAGUUUUACUUUACCAGUUUCAAUUGGAAAUUCCUAUUCAACUAAUGCAUUGUGUGACACUGGUGCUAGUAUCAAUCUAAUGUCGUAUUCUGCUUACAGGAAAUUGGGACUAGGUGAAGUCAACUCAAUAUCAAUAACACUACAACUCGCUGAUAGAACAAUCACAAGGCCACGCGGAAAAGUUGAAGAAGUACUCGUCAAAGUAGGAAAUUUAAUAUUUCCUGUGGAUUUCAUUGUAUUGGACAUAUCAGAAGAUCGAGACAUUCCAAUUAUAUUGGGUCGACCAUUCUUAGCAACGAGACGAACCCUUAUUGACAUGGAGACAGGAGAACUAAUCUUGAGGGUGGAGGACAAGCAGGAGAUAUUCAAUAUUUACAUCCAAUAUGAGAAACCUCCCAAUAAAAAUGAUUGCUAUAGAAUUGAUGAAGAAGAGCCACCUAAUCAACGAAGCUGUCAAAAUAAAAAAACAAAUUUUGGAGAACUUCUUGGUAGAGAUAAGAAUGGACAAAUCAAAAUUUGGAGAGGAAAAAAGGACAGCAUCAACGAAAAUUGCACAGAAUGCAAUGAUGAAAUAACUUGGUUUAAGCCACCAUAAUAAACCAGCGGCACAAGUCAAGCUAAUGACUUAAAAGAAGCGCUUCUUGGGAAGCAACCCAAGCUUUUAUUUUA
rnacentral:lncRNA from 1 species